rnacentral:lncRNA from 1 species
GGGCUACAAAUGGGCACCUUCAAGCUGAUAAAUGUUGAUGAGUUGGAACAAUGACUCAAAUCUUGGUCUAGGCUAAAGCUUGGGUGCCAGGGUCUACAGAUUUGAGGAUCCAAAAUAAUGUUAGUAACUCACACAUAUGAUUGGUUACUGGUCUAUUUUACUCAAAUACAAGACUUUGGAAAGAGGAUUUGAUUAAUAAUACAUUUCAUGCUGAUGAAGCAGAAAGAAUUAUAUGCAUUCCCUUACACGAGUUCCACAUGAUGAUAAACUUGUAUGACGAGGCGAAGCUUCAGGUGAGUAUUCUGUGCAAAGUGG